rnacentral:rRNA from 1 species
GUGGGGAAUAUUGGGCAAUGGGGGAAACCCUGACCCAGCAACGCCGCGUGAAGGAAGAAGGCCCUCGGGUUGUAAACUUCUUUUACCAGGGACGAAGGAAGUGACGGUACCUGGAGAAAAAGCCACGGCUAACUACGUGCCAGCAGCCGCGGUAAUACGUAGGUGGCAAGCGUUGUCCGGAUUUACUGGGUGUAAAGGGCGUGUAGGCGGGACUGCAAGUCUGAUGUGUAAUCUGGUGGCUCAACCACCAAACUGCAUUGGAAACUGUAGUUCUUGAGUAUCGGAGAGGCAGGCGGAAUUCCUAGUGUAGCGGUGAAAUGCGUAGAUAUUAGGAAGAACACCAGUGGCGAAGGCGGCCUGCUGGACGACAACUGACGCUGAGGCGCGAAAGCGUGGGGAGCAAACAGGA